rnacentral:lncRNA from 10 species
UGCAAGUAUAAGCUACAGAUCUUGCCAGAAGCUGUAGGAAGAAGGAAGCAGAUGGAGAGAGGACUUCCCCCAGAGAUAGAAAAAACUUCCACUCCUGGAGCCCAUGGGUGAGGUCAGCCUCAUGGAACUGCAUGAAUGGAGCGUGAGACGUGGGUGGUUCCACAAAGGAAAACUGAGAUACUGUUAUCACAGGAAUAGAUAUUUGCAAAGCACCUAUCACUUGAGUAUCUCUUCUCUGAACAAGUCCCCGGGAGAGGAAAAAGAAUAUUUCUUGGAAGAAAUGAAAGGCUGCCACUUAUCAAAAAGAUCCCAGUUUGCAAGAUUAUGUAGGGCUGGAGGUUCUCCCUAGGGGGGCUUCCCCCUGGGAUCCACCUUCUGCUCAGGUGGUAGGAAGGCAAAAACCCUGGUCCCCAUUUUCCGUGACUUCUGAAAUUUCUUCUCAGGAGUCCAGUCAUUUCCAGACUUUGGACUGAAUGAUAAGCUGGAGGGGGAGAAAUAGGCUGGGUUGGAAAGAGAUAGCACUUAGAAAACAGAUGUUCCACUGCGUAGCAGAGAAAAUGCUACUUGUACACCAGAUUUUUUCAUUUUCCCCUGGCACUCAGGAAGACUUCAUUUUCUAGGUUAGGUUAGGUACUAGUUUUAACCAGUGAUGAUGAAGUCAGAGCAAUGAAUACCACUUCUUGGUCAGCCCCUAAAAAAUCUCCUGAUAUCUCCUUUGCUGUCUUGCCUCUCUCAUCCACUGGCUGGCUGGAUACAAAGGAACCAGUUAAGGAUUCCAGGGUCUUAGAAGAUGGAGGGCCCACUGGAUGGAAGGAGCAUGUCCACGAAUCAUCUUGUAGUAGAUUGUCGAACUCUUGGACUGAUAUGAGAAAUAAACCUGUUACUGUGUUAAGCUACUGAGACGUGGGAUUGUUUGUCAGAGCAGUUGGCCUAUUCUGGCAUUAACCAGUGAGACAUGGCAGAUUUCUGGUCAGAC